rnacentral:lncRNA from 1 species
CGUCCCCUUGCCGGUGGCAGGAGAGCAGGAGGAUAUGCUUCGCGUCUUGGGGAGACACCUCCUGCCCCUUUGCCGCCCCCCGUUCCCCACUGGGUCACCUCAGCACCUGGCCAAACAGCUGGUCCCCAUUUGCCCGAGCUAGCGCGAGCCCAGGACGUGAGGAGGGAGGCUGCCCUCUGCCCCGCGGGGAGGCCUGCCUGGGAUCCUGGAGGGUUGAGGAGGGGCCGCAGAGGCAGGUGGGAGGAGGCCUGGGCCAAGCUUCCUCAGAGCUGGGGCCACCAGCCGGAAAGAGCUCUGGAAACCGGCCUUGCUUUUCCCCUCGCUGCCGGGAAUGCCCACACGAGAGUAGCUCAAGUUAAUGAGCAAACUGCCCAGGCCAGGAAGGCAGGCGGCUCUCGGGCACCCCGCCUCCCUGCUCAAGCACAGGCAGCACUUGAAUGCCACUUGCCGGACCAAGGGAGGGCGGCAGAUGCUCUGGGACGUUUCCCCUUUGGAGGCUGCUCGAGAUACCUGGCUGAUAAAGGGCUGAUUUGCAGAGACUUAAUUAUGGCCCGAAGCCCUCAGUGUAAACAAUGGAUCCGGACAGACAGACCCAGGACAGAGGGCUGCUGGGCCCCUUGGCUCUCAGAACACCUGUGUAGGGGAGGGGUCUCCUCUGAGAAGCAGGAGCCCGAGGGGAGACACUCCAGGAAAGGCC